rnacentral:lncRNA from 1 species
GAACCCGGGAGGCGGAGGUUGCAAUAAGCCAAGAUGGAGCCACUGCACUCCAGCUGGGGAAACAGAGUGAGACUCCAUCUCAAAAUAAAUACAUAAAUAAAUAAAAAUAGAAAUAAAAAAACCCUGAAAUGAGACACUUUAUCUCAUUUUAGCAAUCCUAUAAUAUUUCUUUAUGACGACAACAUGUAUUAUUAAUGCUGAUAUAUCUGAAUGCUCACAGUAAUCAGGCACUGUUAUAAACAUCUUACAUGUCCUGAUUCAUUUACUCCUCACAUCAGUCUUCCCUAUGAGUUCCAUAAAUUCAUGUUAAUAUUAAUUGAAUAGGUGCACAGGCUUAGUUUGAGUUUGAUUCUGCAGUUGGGUCUACAGAGUCCGAGAUACUUCCAUACUUGAUAACUCAUCUGAAAAUUUGUGUGCGUGUUUGCAGAAGAAGGGAGUUUAUAGCUGUCAAAGCUUUUCAAACUUUUUUCCUUGAAUAUUUUUAAUCACUUUUUCCAAGUCACUUAUUUUUACUGUUAAGUGUUCAAGGCUUAGCUCUUAUCGGUGAAUAAUAGUCUUAUUCCCCUAGGAAGCUUUCUCUGAAAUUAGACAGUCUGGCUGGUGUACAGAGCUUUCUAAUGAUAAUUUAACUUUACCUAGUAUCUUUGUUUACCACAGUGGCUUAGAAAAAUCUCAGUACCAAAAUAUUUUUUCUUAUUAGUAUUUAAUGUUCUUGCCCUGAAACACUGGUUUAAAAUUGUUUCUCUUUUUCAGAUAAACAAAACGUAAUGUAGCUAUAAAGUGGUUUCAUAAAUUGUAUAAAUCCCUCAAUGAUGACAUCAACA